rnacentral:rRNA from 1 species
GAUGAACGCUAGCGGGAGGCUUAACACAUGCAAGUCGAGGGGCAGCAUAGGGUAGCAAUACUCUGAUGGCGACCGGCAAACGGGUGAGUAACGCGUAUGCAACCUACCCUGUACAGGGGGAUAACCCGGAGAAAUUCGGGCUAAUAUCCCGUAAUAAUAUCCGGAGGCAUCUUUGGAUAUUUAAAGUUCCGACGGUACGGGAUGGGCAUGCGUAACAUUAACUGGUUGGUAAGGUAACGGCUUACCAAGGCUAUGAUGUUUAGGGGUCCUGAGAGGGUGGUCCCCCACACUGGUACUGAGACACGGACCAGACUCCUACGGGAGGCAGCAGUGAGGAAUAUUGGUCAAUGGGCGCAAGCCUGAACCAGCCAUCCCGCGUGCAGGAAGACGGCCCUAUGGGUUGUAAACUGCUUUUGCCAGGGGAUAAAAGACCAUGCGUGGUCAAUUGAAGGUACCUGGUGAAUAAGCCACGGCUAACUACGUG